UACGUAGGGGGCGAGCGUUAUCCGGAUUUAUUGGGCGUAAAGGGUACGCAGGCGGCUAAAUAAGUCAGGUGUGAAAGUCAGUGGCUCAACCACUGUAAGCACUUGAAACUGUAUAGCUUGAGUACUGGAGAGGAAAGUGGAAUUCCUAGUGUAGCGGUGAAAUGCGUAGAUAUUAGGAGGAACACCAGUGGCGAAGGCGACUUUCUGGACAGAUACUGACGCUGAGGUACGAAAGCGUGGGGAGCAAACAGG
rnacentral:rRNA from 1 species